AUUGAACGCUGGCGGCAGGCCUAACACAUGCAAGUCGAACGAGUGGCGGACGGGUGAGUAAUGUCUGGGAAACUGCCUGAUGGAGGGGGAUAACUACUGGAAACGGUAGCUAAUACCGCAUACCAUCAGAUGUGCCCAGAUGGGCUUAGCUAGGUGGUGGGGUAACGGCUCACCAAGGCGACGAUCACUAGCUGGUCUGAGAGGAAGACAAGCAAAACUGGAACUGAGACACGGUCCAGACGCCUACGGGAGGCAGAAUGGGGGAAUAUUGCACUAUGGACGCAAGCCUGAUGCAGCCAUGCCGCGUGUAGGAAGAAGGCCUUCGGGUUGGACAGUACUUUCAGCGGGGAGGCGUUACCCGCAGAAGAAGCACCGGCUAACUCCGUGCCAGCAGCCGCGGUAAUUC
rnacentral:rRNA from 1 species